rnacentral:tRNA from 2 species
GCCGGUGUGGUGGAAUUGGUAGACGCGCCGGACUCAAAAUCCGGUUCCGCAAGGAGUGUCGGUUCGAGUCCGACCACCGGCA